AUCCAGUUGACGAGUCCCGAAUAAGACAAAACGGGCGUCCUGCAU
rfam:Schistosoma haematobium scaffold1925_2, whole genome shotgun sequence.